ensembl:lncRNA
UGAAGAUACAAGAAACCUGACAAUUCAGCAACUUUCACUGAAACAGAACAACAGGUUUGAAUAUGCUCAAAUAAUAUUGUUUUUCAUUGUAUGGUACAUAAAUAAACAGACUACAGCAUAAGUAUUGAUCUUUCCCUUGCAAUAUGACAUGAAGAGAUUAAGAUACUUAUCCUGGCAAAUUUAUAAACUUUGAUAUCUCUCAAACUAUGACAGUGGAAGAUUCUAUGGAAGGAUGUGCCAUUUACUGAAGACUACAGAGAUUAAACAAAUAAAUAAAUAAAGUACGAGAGAAAGGACAUCACUUACUGUAAUCUAUUGGUGCUAAUUGAGCUUAUCACCUCUUCUAUUUCUGGUUUCGGAAAAGUGACCACAUGUAAUUACAUCUGCAGAUCAGUGAAGACAGGAAAGAAGGUAAGAACAUUCCAGAAAACAAGUAAAACUGAACUGUAGAGUGAGGAAGAAGAAACACUCAACAUAAGCAUUGUAUUUCUCCAACGUGAAGGACUCCAUAGGCUGAGAACUUGUCUUAACAAACCAACACCUCAAUCAAAAUGAAGCCUCUCAGGACCCAGAAGAACAAGCAAAAGGGGUAGAAAGAGUGUGUAUAAAAAUUUUAAUGACAUUGCUAUUUUUUUCCUGC